ACAAUGGCUUUUAUCAAAGCCAUCUUCAUGUAUACUAAUUUCUUG
rfam:Opisthocomus hoazin contig80004, whole genome shotgun sequence.